GCGUGCUCCUCCUUCCAAAUCCGCCUCCCGGCCCAACUAACCUACCAAACCCUAGCUAGAAUUAGAAAAAUUCCCCAUCCCGAGCCCGCCGCCGCGUCGCCGGGGGAUGGCCGAGUACGACGAGCGCUACGAGGGCAACGGCGGCCCCGUCUCCGGGGCGGACGCGGCUGGUGCCUACGCCCAGGCCGAGUACGGCGCCGCUCCCCCGGCCGCGGGGGGCUCGCCGCCCGCCGGAGCCAAGCCCACCGGGUUCUCCGACCACGCCGACGGCCGCAACUCCCAGCCCCAGCACGAGACACAGUCACAUGACAGUGGUUCCUCAAAAUCCCGAGAAAGGGACAGAGACCGUGAUAAGGGCAAGGACAGGGAGCGCGACAGGGACCGUGGCCGAGAUAGGGAGAGGGACCGCGACAGGGAUAAGGACCGUGAAAGAGGUGACAGGGACCGAGAUCGUGAUCGCCACCACAGGGAUCGCCGCGAGCGCAGCGAGAAAAGGGAACACCGCGAUCGUUCUCAUGAUCGUGACCGCCACCGUGAUGAUCGUGACCGUCACAGGAGCCUUGAUUCUGAAAGGAGAAGAGAUCGUGACAGAGAUGGCCACCGUAGGCAUCGAUCCCGCUCCCGCUCUCCGUCCAAGAGUCGUGACCGUGACCGUAGAUCUAGAUCUCGUUCACGCUCUCGUUCAAAGAGCAAGCGUGUGAGUGGAUUUGAUCAAGGACCGCUGCAACAGACGAUGCCUAUAGUUACUGCUGGUGCUGUUCCUGGUCAGCUGCCUGUAGUCACUCCUAUACCAGGGAUGUUUCCAAACUUAUUAAUGGGACCGAUGAACCCCCUUAUUCAACCUCAAGCCAUGACACAACAGGCUACUCGACAUGCUCGGCGUGUGUAUGUUGGUGGACUUCCUCCAACUGCUAAUGAGCAGACUGUUGCCAUAUUCUUCAAUGGAGUUAUGGCAGCUAUUGGAGGAAACACUGCUGGUCCAGGUGAUGCUGUUCUUAAUGUCUACAUAAACCAUGACAAGAAAUUUGCUUUUGUUGAGAUGAGAUCUGUGGAGGAAGCAAGCAAUGCAAUGGCCUUAGAUGGCAUAAUGUUCGAGGGAGCACCAGUGAAGGUCAGAAGGCCGACGGACUAUAAUCCUUCCUUAGCAGCUGCGCUUGGCCCAAGCCAACCAAAUCCCAAUCUUAAUCUUGCUGCUGUUGGCUUAACGCCUGGCUCUGCUGGAGGAUUAGAAGGUCCUGAUCGCAUUUUUGUGGGUGGUCUCCCCUAUUACUUCACUGAGGCCCAAGUGCGGGAGUUGCUUGAGUCCUUUGGUCCUCUGCGGGGAUUUGAUCUUGUGAAGGAUAGGGAAACUGGUAACUCGAAGGGCUAUGCUUUCUGUGUGUACCAGGAUCUUACUGUUACCGACAUUGCCUGUGCUGCUCUUAACGGUAUCAAGAUGGGAGACAAGACCCUUACUGUUAGGCGGGCGAACCAAGGAGCUGCUCAGCCUAGACCAGAGCAGGAAAGUAUCCUGUUGCAGGCACAACAACAGGUGCAAAUGCAGAAACUCGUGUACCAAGUUGGAGGUGCCCUUCCAACAAAAGUCGUAUGUCUGACACAGGUAGUCACAGCAGAUGAACUGAGAGAUGAUGAGGAAUAUGAGGACAUUGUGGAGGACAUGAGGGAAGAAGGACGCAAAUAUGUCCCACAUAAUGCCAUUGCAGAGUGUUUUAUAGUCCGACCCUAUGCAAUAUUGGCAAUCGGGCCUUAACCUACAGAAGACACACUUUCUUUUGAGUUUGAUUAAUCAUGUAUAUUAUUAUAUUAUUAUUACCCUCUGCCUAUGGAUGUACUCACUAACACUUGGACAGGUAACUUGGUGAAAGUUGUAAUCCCACGGCCUGACCCCAGCGGGGCUCCUGCUGCUGGAGUUGGGAAGGUGUUUUUGGAAUAUGCAGAUGUGGACGGAUCGACCAAGGCGAAGACGGGCAUGCACGGGAGGAAGUUUGGCGGGAACCAGGUGGUGGCCGUGUUCUACCCCGAGGGCAAGUUUGCUGCGGAGCAGUAUGACGGAUGAAGUUUGGCUUGAGCCAGGUAUUCUACCCGAGGACAGGUUCGCUGCUGAGCAGUAUGGACAGAUGAAGUUAGAAUUAUGCUAGAGUUGGAGUCACGCCACACUGGUUGUUUUUAUCUUAGUUUGAGGAAGUUAGAACUCUAUUUUUGUUUUUAUCUUAGUUUGAUGAAGUUCUAUUUUUGGCCAUUGCAUUCGGCCAUAUGCCCAUAUUGUAGUCGUAAAAUGAACCAUAAUAGUUGUUGGAUGCGUGCUGCUAAGAUGAACUAAGAUGAAAGAAUCCGAUUGGUGUUUGCGUUCA